UACGGAGGGUGCAAACGUUGCUCGGAAUCAUUGGGCGUAAAGCGCACGUAGGCGGUCCAGCAAGUCGGAUGUGAAAUCCCUCGGCUUAACUGAGGAAGUGCAUUCGGAACUGCUGGACUUGAAUAUGGAAGAGGCGAGUGGAAUUCCUGGUGUAGCGGUGAAAUGCGCAGAUAUCAGGAGGAACACCAAUUGCGAAGGCAGCUCGCUGGGACGUAACUGACGCUGAGACGCGAAAGCGUGGGGAGCAAACAGG
rnacentral:rRNA from 1 species